ACCGGCUGCUCGAGUGAUGGCCACUAUUACUGGGUUUAAAGCGUCCGUAGCUUGAUUGUUAGGUCUCUUGGGAAAUCUUCACGCUCAACGUGAAGGCGUCCAAGAGAUACCGGCAAUCUUGGAACUGGGAGAGGUAAACCGUACUUCGGGGGUAGGAGUGAAAUCUUGUAAUCCUCGAGGGACGACCUAUGGCGAAGGCAGUUUACCAGAACAGCUUCGACAGUGAGGGACGAAAGCUGGGGGAGCAAACGG
rnacentral:rRNA from 1 species